AAUGAGGCUGCUAAUCCCCGUUAACCUGUUACUGACCCCCCAAUGGGGCCCCCACCAAAGGUGUGACCUGGAGACUGGGUGAAAACAAGCAAAACAGCAGAGCUUACAAUUGAUCUGACAGUUACACUGAGCUUCACUCCAGGGUUCUCUCUAGAUGUUCAUCCUCCUCUUCAGCUCUGCAAGGAUACAUAGAGAAUGCUCAGAAGCACAGCCCCCUGCAUGGCUAAAUCAGUGCCUGACCAGCGGCUACAUUAGUGGGCUCUACAUGUAAAGGGGUUAGACAGAGACUUGCCCCCUAACAAUGAGGCUGCU